AGAAAUUUAGUUCAACUAAAACGUUAGCUUGUCAAGCUAAAAUUAUUAUUAAAAUAUAAUAAUUUCUU
rnacentral:tRNA from 1 species